GUCGAGCGAACUGAUUAGAAGCUUGCUUCUAUGACGUUAGCGGCGGACGGGUGAGUAACACGUGGGCAACCUGCCUGUAAGACUGGGAUAACUUCGGGAAACCGAAGCUAAUACCGGAUAGGAUCUUCUCCUUCAUGGGAGAUGAUUGAAAGAUGGUUUCGGCUAUCACUUACAGAUGGGCCCGCGGUGCAUUAGCUAGUUGGUGAGGUAACGGCUCACCAAGGCAACGAUGCAUAGCCGACCUGAGAGGGUGAUCGGCCACACUGGGACUGAGACACGGCCCAGACUCCUACGGGAGGCAGCAGUAGGGAAUCUUCCGCAAUGGACGAAAGUCUGACGGAGCAACGCCGCGUGAGUGAUGAAGGCUUUCGGGUCGUAAAACUCUGUUGUUAGGGAAGAACAAGUACGAGAGUAACUGCUCGUACCUUGACGGUACCUAACCAGAAAGCCACGGCUAACUACGUGCCAGCAGCCGCGGUAAUACGUAGGUGGCAAGCGUUAUCCGGAAUUAUUGGGCGUAAAGCGCGCGCAGGCGGUUUCUUAAGUCUGAUGUGAAAGCCCACGGCUCAACCGUGGAGGGUCAUUGGAAACUGGGGAACUUGAGUGCAGAAGAGAAAAGCGGAAUUCCACGUGUAGCGGUGAAAUGCGUAGAGAUGUGGAGGAACACCAGUGGCGAAGGCGGC
rnacentral:rRNA from 2 species